rnacentral:lncRNA from 1 species
UGCUUAUCAGAACACCUAGUUAAUCACAAGGUAAACUUGAUAAAAAUCUACCUAAUUUGUUCAUAUUUUCAGUUAUUAACAAUUUCAAAAGAGUCCCAAUUUCUUCAGUACAAGACAGUGGAUCAGGUUGGGAAAGAGAGAGGGAACAUAAGGCCAAUCAUCACUACAAAGGCAACCAACAUGGUGGUGGAGAGAAGUGGAGUGGGC